rnacentral:rRNA from 1 species
GACGAACGCUGGCGGCGUGCCUAAUACAUGCAAGUAGAACGCUGAAGGAGGAGCUUGCUCUUCUGGAUGAGUUGCGAACGGGUGAGUAACGCGUAGGUAACCUGCCUGGUAGCGGGGGAUAACUAUUGGAAACGAUAGCUAAUACCGCAUAACAGUAGAUGUUGCACGACAUUUACUUAAAAGGUGCAAUUGCAUCACUACCAGAUGGACCUGCGUUGUAUUAGCUAGUUGGUGGGGUAACGGCUCACCAAGGCGACGAUACAUAGCCGACCUGAGAGGGUGAUCGGCCACACUGGGACUGGGACACGGCCCAGACUCCUACGGGAGGCAGCAGUAGGGAAUCUUCGGCAAUGGACGGAAGUCUGACCGAGCAACGCCGCGUGAGUGAAGAAGGUUUUCGGAUCGUAAAGCUCUGUUGUAAGAGAAGAACGAGUGUGAGAGUGGAAAGUUCACACUGUGACGGUAUCUUACCAGAAAGGGACGGCUAACUACGUG